UUUUGACAAAAAGUCCCCCCCCGACAACAGAGUUCGACAGAAAAUCGCACUUGGCGGUAAUUUGUCUGCGGAUCAAACAAUUGUCGAAUCAGCCAGAACUUUCGGGCAAAGGCACUCGACACUAAUCAACUAAAGUGACUCCCGGCAAGAGCAGGCGACAAGAGGACUCCAAUUCACGAGCUGCACGCAUCCUUUGCCAAGGAAUUAUGCACUCGCCUCGCAGCGGAGCGAAGCACAUAAAACAUUCCGCUGCAUAAUUGAACAAGUUGGCAGGGCGAGUCAGUGCGGCAGGGGUUGGG